UGGGGAAUAUUGGACAAUGGGCGAAAGCCUGAUCCAGCCAUGCCGCGUGUGUGAAGAAGGUCUUCGGAUUGUAAAGCACUUUAAGAUGGGAGGAAGGGCAGUAAGCGAAUACCUUGCUGUUUUGACGUUACCGACAGAAUAAGCACCGGCUAACUCUGUGCCAGCAGCCGCGGUAAUACAGAGGGUGCAAGCGUUAAUCGGAAUUACUGGGCGUAAAGCGCGCGUAGGUGGUUCGUUAAGUUGAAUGUGAAAGCCCCGGGCUCAACCUGGGAACUGCAUCCAAAGCUGGCGGGCUAGAGUAGGGCAGAGGGUGGUGGAAUUUCCUGUGUAGCGGUGAAAUGCGUAGAUAUAGGAAGGAACACCAGUGGCGAAGGCGACCACCUGGGCUCAUACUGGCACUGAGGUGCGAAAGCGUGGGGAGCAAACAGG
rnacentral:rRNA from 1 species